rnacentral:rRNA from 1 species
AACGAACGCUGGCGGCAUGCCUAACACAUGCAAGUCGAACGAAGGCUUCGGCCUUAGUGGCGCACGGGUGCGUAACGCGUGGGAAUCUGCCCUUUGCUUCGGAAUAACAGUUAGAAAUGACUGCUAAUACCGGAUGAUGUCGCAAGACCAAAGAUUUAUCGGCAAAGGAUGAGCCCGCGUAGGAUUAGCUAGUUGGUGGGGUAAAGGCCUACCAAGGCGACGAUCCUUAGCUGGUCUGAGAGGAUGAUCAGCCACACUGGGACUGAGACACGGCCCAGUCUCCUACGGGAGGCAGCAGUGGGGAAUAUUGGACAAUGGGCGAAAGCCUGAUCCAGCAAUGCCGCGUGAGUGAUGAAGGCCUUAGGGUUGUAAAGCUCUUUUACCCGGGAUGAUAAUGACAGUACCGGGAGAAUAAGCUCCGGCUAACUCCGUG